rnacentral:rRNA from 1 species
UACGUAGGUGGCAAGCGUUGUCCGGAUUUACUGGGCGUAAAGAGCGCGCAGGCGGUCGUUCAAGUCGCGUGUGAAAGCCCCCGGCUCAACUGGGGAGGGUCACGCGAUACUGAUCGACUGGAAGGCAGGAGAGGGUAGUGGAAUUCCCGGUGUAGUGGUGAAAUGCGUAGAUAUCGGGAGGAACACCAGUGGCGAAGGCGGCUCACUGGCCCGAUACUGACGCUGAGGCACGAAAGCGUGGGGAGCAAACAGG